UACGUAGGGUGCGAGCGUUGUCCGGAUUUAUUGGGCGUAAAGAGCUCGUAGGCGGCUUGUCGCGUCGGAUGUGAAAGCCCGGGGCUUAACUCCGGGUCUGCAUUCGAUACGGGCAGGCUAGAGUGUGGUAGGGGAGAUCGGAAUUCCUGGUGUAGCGGUGAAAUGCGCAGAUAUCAGGAGGAACACCGGUGGCGAAGGCAGGUCUCUGGGCCACUACUGACGCUGAGAAGCGAAAGCAUGGGGAGCGAACAGG
rnacentral:rRNA from 1 species